rnacentral:lncRNA from 1 species
CUUGUAAAAGAAAGAGAGAGAGAGAGAGAGACCGAGAGAGAAAGAAAGAAAGAAAAGAAACUCCUUCCGUAGGAGCUAGAAUUACACCUUUUUUUCUAUAAGACUUUUCGCUAUUUGUAUUUCUUCUGGACCUAAUCAUCAUGUUCUCCGCACAAAACAUUUGAGUGGUUGGCCUUCUAUGGCCAACCAUAACCAUUUUACAGGCAGUUUUACACAGUUGUGGGUAUUACCCUUUAUCUGUUGUUCUGCUGCUUGAUCUUUGCAACACAGAACUGUUAGAUUUCUGUGUAAUCACAUCUGUCACAUUUUCCUUUAAGUCUUCCUGUCGUGUUUGGGAAGAGCUUUUCUACUUCCCAUCCUGGUUUUAUUCUUAUUUUAUUAGAAUUGGGCUAUACAUAUUAGUUUGUAAGUUGCUUCAAAUUCUUUUUGAAAGAAGCAAGGGAUACAUAGAUCCUAUAAAUAAAUAAAAAUGCUUGUGAGACAUGAGAAAUCAUUUUUAUUUAUUCAUAACCAUCACAUUUCUUGAAAAAUAUAAUUCUUGCUGUGCUGUAUAUAUUUUCAAGUGAUGCUGGAAGGAGUAUUACAUUAUAACCUUAAAGGAUUAUGAACACCAAAGGGAAAGGUGCUGUUUAAACACAUUGCUAAUAAUAUGUUUACACAUUUUGAAACUGCUCAAAUUACAUUCACGUGGAUCAGCAGCAUGACUUGUAUGACUUGUGUUGGCUUCCUCUGAGAAGGACGGAGAGUGAGAGGAGUUCAGAUUAUUAUUGCCUGAGAAGUUGGUUAGGCAAGGAAGUCAUUUACCUUGCUGUGGACAGAAUAAAGAACUCACCAUCCAGCAAUUUAUAGUUGAUCACAGUUGUGUUGCCUAGUGGUGGGGUGCAAAAGGAUGCAACGUAUUUGGUUAAAAGACAAGCACAAAUAUCAGAGUAUUUAGUAAGAUCCAAAAUUUAAGUUGAUUUAGCAUUCACAACAAAAAUGAAGUCAUUUGGAAAAAACAAAAAUGAACAAAGAAAUAAAAAUGGAGAUUUAGUCCACAUGUCGUGGGUUGAUGUUUCCUUGAAAAGAGUGGUCAGAAUUUUUGAGCCUAAAGCAACCACGUAUUAAAGUAAUUUAACUAAUGUAGACAUGUUAUCCGCUUACCACAAAGAAAAUAAAUUAUAGCGGGCUCUAGACUGAUGGCUAAAAAGCCAAUUCUCCUAAAAUGGAAGGAUAUUGAUGGUGCUCACAUUAUGUAAUCGGUACAGUAUGUCAGUCCUAGUGGUCUGGCUAACCAAGGAAGGCUCUGGUUUCAAAUGAAAGCACAUUUAGUAAAAUUCGGUAUAAUUUUUUCCUAGAACUACUUUGCUCAAUUAUGGCAAGAUAGAUUCUACUAAUCACAGGCUGCAGAGACUUGGAGAUUGAGCAUGGUUUUUUGGAUUGAAAUACUUUUUAUUUUGUGUUUGGUCUUCUGCAGUGCCUUAGGGGAGAUGUGUCAGAGAGACUAACGUGGUUUCUUUCUUCUUUUAUUUAAGAAUUUAAGUGAUCAUGGAACUGGAACAAACUUCAGUGCCCAUUUAGUCAAUUGCCUUCAUUUUAUAGAAGAGGAAAUUGAAGAAUAAAGGUUGUGAUUUUCCUAAGGUCAUGUAAUGAGUUCAUGACAAAGCCUGGAUUAUACUUAGGUCUUCUGAUAACCAGACCAGUUUUCUUUCCUUUGUAGAAAAAUGCAUGCUCCAGAAGUCCAGGCUGACCCAAUACCGGAGUAGACUUUGAGUCUUUGCUUCAGAUGCAGAUCAAGAUGUGGCAACCUGUUGUGGAGAACUGGGUCCCUUGAGCCUGUGCUGUCUCUUUUUUUCUGGUGGCUUUGUCAUUUGGAACAAUGCAUAAUGGGCUGGAGGCUGAGAAACUCUGAGCUGAGGUCCAGGCCAGUUUCCUUUCAUCCUCCCAAAGCUAUUAACACGAUAGUGUGAAUUUGAUGCUGUUGAAGGCAGGCCUGUAGUGAACAUGUGGCAUUUCUUUGGCUACUCAACAUCCAUUCCUCCUUCCUGAUGGCAUCUCAUUUCUUUUGGGGAAUUACUUAUUCCCAUGGAUGCAGCCUUAAUGGGGUAUAAAUCCAGGCACCUGCUCCCCACCAUGGAAGAUUGUGAAGUGGCCAGAUUCUGCUUCCUCCAGCCCUGAGGGUGGGCAUGCGGCCUAAGCUCAACCAAAUCUGAUAAACACUUCUGGAUCUUUGAACCUCGAACAGGUGACACAAGGAUGACAGGAACAGUUAUCAGGGAAGCACACUGAUCGACUGAGCUGCCUGCUCCUGGCCUUCUGGAUCCUCCUCAGUUCCUGCUUAUCUCUAGGCCAGGCUCUCAACUCUGUCAAUUCUGGCAAGUAGAGCUGCAGCUGUCUGGCGCCACUGUAAUGCUGUCUCCUCCUCUGAGUGAGUUCAUCCUGGAAACAUUUUCUCCCAUAAGACAUGCACAGGUCUUACGUUUACAUGUUUCACUGAAAGAAAUUUGAUUCCACUGCUGGGAUGACAAGGAAGACUGAAGAAACCUAAUCCUAGGUGCUGCCACUGGGACAAACAAGAAGCACCAGACACAGUGCUGUUUUAGGGUGGGGCAGAAUUAUGCUGAGGGAAAAGUUAUUAUCACUCUUUAAGGCCAAGGAAACCACAAUUUUUAAAGAAGCUUCUAGAAAUUCUACCCAGUAGAAAAUAAAGAUAAACUUCUGUAAGGAAUUUCAUUCUUUUCAGAAUUCGCAAUCUGAAAUGUAGAAGCCCAUUCCUUCAUGGUUCUCAUAGAUAUUUAGUGUGACUGAGGGGUCAGUGGACUCAUAGCACUCAGGCCAGGCUUCUCCUGAGUCCCUUUCUUUGGCACAGAGGGAGUGAUUCACAGAUCCUCUACCCCCAAAGGCAUUGUUUCCUCAUCUCAACAAGAAUCCAGCACCCGUCAUUUUAUCAGCACACGUCACUAGCUUCUCAAGUGAGACUACUCUGAAGUGAUCUGUGUUUGAAGAAUGCCUUUCCCUUUCCCUUACGUAACUAAGAGGAUGAAAAAGGACACUCACUCCCUAUAUGAAAGCUGUGUAUUGUAAGCAGUCAUCUUGCCUGGCUGAGAACUCUAGGAUCUUUUUCUCUGCUCUCCUUUAGGCUGACACUCAUAGCCAGACCUUCUGUUUAUUAGCCCCCUGAAUCUAUUUGAAAAUAUUUUUGCUUUCAUUAUAAUAUAAGUCACAUUCUUCUUGCAUCUGCCGCUGCAUUUUCCAAAAGGGUUAUGUCAAGGGAAAUUCAACACUCACUUUUCUCAUUAUUUGCUUACCAGCUUGCUCACUCAUCAAAAUACCAGAGUUAUUUGAUACUUCAGAAGAUUAUUUCCCCCUUUAGAUGAUGUGUCAAGGGAAGGGGAGCUGGCCCCAGUAUCAGGUGACAGAAUUUUCUUCGCAUUUCUACUGUUGACUCAAUAAAUGCCCUUGGGCAAGUCAUGGAGCCUCUUCAUACUUUGGUCUCUAGGGAUAAAAUCUGCCAACCGCAGCAUGUGUAUUUGAACCUCAGUGUCCUCUGGAAUAAAAAUAGGAGGGGACCAGGUGUCCAUGUGACCCCAAGCUGAUGGGAAGAGGAUGACCAUAGGACUUCAAAAUGUCCUUGAGCUGUAAAUUCUGUAAUAGGGUCAGGCCCACCAGUGGCCUUCAGGCAUUUGUCCAGUGGUGUAUGGAUAAGUUCUAGCACUUGAGUUUUUUCAGCACAAAGGAGGCACUAUGUCAACCUCCCACCCAUGGGUAUUCUGUUUGCUCUGUGUCCCCGCUUCUCUGCAUUUCCCUGCCAUAUUACUCACCACUGGUCGUAAUUACUUGCUUGAUCACUUGUCUCCUGGUCUGUAAGCUGUUUGAGGGAGGGGAGCACAUCUGCCCUAUGCAACACUGUACCCUCAGUGUGGUACACAGGAGCACAUGCCUGACAUAUGGAAGUUAUGUGAGAAACAUUUGUGAAGUGGACAAAUUAAUAAUGCUGCCUGGACUCUAUAGAAAUCCCUUUUCUGCAUCAUUAAGGUUCCCAAGCCUGGCCAAGAAGUAGUGGGAUCUGAUUAGCCUCAUCUCCUCAUAACCCUACUUCCUAUAAUAUUAUAAUGAAAGCAGAUCUCAGCCCAAAUGCUGGCACACAUACAUAUUUAUCAGUAAGAAGAUCCAAAAUCGUUCAUGCAGCUGGUUCUGUAAGCUUGGCAAAUUUCCAGCCCUCUGAACUUUUCAGUGCUUUGUCCACACUCUACAUGAAAGGGCCUCUUAAGAGUGACAGGGCAGUAUUCUAAAGACCAGAUUUUAAUUGCACCAGGUAACUGAAUUGUCUGAAUUCACAGCUGAACACAGGACAAGGUCAGAAUCAUAUUUCUUAUGCCAUUUAGAAAGGUGACAAGUGAAGGGCUGGCCAAAAUCUUACACCCAGCUUACGUAAGAGUAGAGACUGUCCCUAAUGCUUUCCCCAGUCCACUUGUCUCGAACACCAUUAGGUUCAAUAGUAAAAGCCCAUUUCUCACUUGCUUCAUGUUAAUUGACUGAUCACUAAUUUUACCAAUAAGAAGCCAUUUUUAUUAUUUAUCAUUAUGAUUUUUAUCAUUUUGUUAAUUAGCCAAGCUUCUGCUGUUGACUCCAGAUAAAGAGAGUUAAAGCACUUGGGGUGACCACCUAAGUAGAUUUUUUCAUGGUGAACAAAUGGAAGCAACAGAAACAGCUCAGACUUUUGAAAAGUGAUGAAAAAGGCCCAUGAUGCCCUGCUCCUUGAAAAUGAAGAAGAGGAUGACUUAGCCCUGCAGGGCUCUUUUCUUUGCAUGUUCUUACCAACCCUCAGGGGAGAUUCAGUCUACUAGCUGGCUUCCCCACGUGGACCUCACUCUGUGGCAAGUAACUGGGAGUAAUUUACCUUCUGGGUUCUCUUACAACCCCCUUAGCUAUGUAGGUGAUUUCAGGCCCAAGGGGGAAGAUAUCAGAUAAGCCAGAACAUUUUGAUUCUACUGACCGAGUUUCCUCACCUCCCUCCCUUUGUUUCUGAUAAAUACAUACGUUAAGGUCAGCUGAAGAGUUGUCUGUGAUAAUUGCCCUGAAUCCUCACUCACUCCUCUGAAUUUCUGUCUUCUGUAGCCUCUUAGCCAUGUUGCAGGUGAAGGUCUCAAGUCAUUUGCACCACUAGGAAUCGUUUGUGUUAUUGUGACUGAUAUAUGUCCUCAGAGUUGUAUCAGUGUUGUCCCCUACACACACAUGCACAUACAUGCACCACACAAUAUGCACGUUCUAUAAGACAGAGCCUCUAUUUUUGGUGUCUGCUUAGCCCUCCAGUUUCCCAUUGGGAUUAGUUGUUUUCUCCAAGCUUCAGACAACUUGGAGAUCCUGCCUAACUUUGGUUGCUCUUCCUUGUCAGACUGGAACUUACCCUCAGUAUGGUACAACCAAUCACUGGCUCUCAGGGAACUCAUCACCCUGAACUAUGCCUGACAGGACAGGAGCACCAUCAUCUCGGACAAACACUGCCACUUUAAGUUCCAGCUCCCUUUCUAGCCUCAGGCAUUUCAAGAAAAUCACUUGUCUUCUCAUUACAAGCAGUCAGAAAGAGCAGACAGUAAAAUACAGAUAAGACGGGCACAGAGGGAAGUGGGAGGAAAGUCUCUUGGGUAACUGCCAAACUUCACCCUCAUACAAUGGGCCCCAGUAAAACAGUGGGCCUUAAUAAGCACAUUCCUUUCCUUUCAGGUGCACUAAGAUAGGAAGGCUAAAGGCAGAUUGGGGGGAUAUGCCUGCAGCUACAGAAAGAUGUAUGGGAACAGACACACAACUCUCCCUCCCAAAUAAGCACAACAGAGAGACACAGAAGCAGUCCAAGCCUCUGAUAAACUCUCCCACCCUGAAUCUUUAAAAACUCUUAGUCUGCAAGAGAGUGUGGCUUCUGACCUAACUCGAUCAGAAGUCCCUCCCAGGUUUAAAAUAAACCUGUUAACUGUUGAGCCAC